GAACCAGCCAAGUCGCGUGAAGGAUGAAGGUCUUAUGGAUUGUAAANUUCUUUUAUAAGGGAAUAAAAAAGAUCACGUGUGGUUUAUNGCAUGUACCUUAUGAAUAAGCAUCGGCUAACUCCGUGCCAGCAGCCGCGGUAAUACGGAGGAUGCGAGCGUUAUCCGGAUUUAUUGGGUUUAAAGGGUGCGUAGGCGGUUUAUUAAGUCAGUGGUGAAAGUUUUCGGCUCAACCGGAAAAUUGCCAUUGAAACUGAUAGACUUGAGUGUAAACGAGGUAGACGGAAUUCGUGGUGUAGCGGUGAAAUGCUUAGAUAUCACGAAGAACUCCAAUUGCGAAGGCAGCUUACUAGGCUACAACUGACGCUGAAGCACGAAAGCGUGGGGAUCAAACAGGAUUAGAUACCCUGGUAGUCCACGCAGUAAACGAUGAUAACUAGCUGUUUGCGAUACACAGUAAGCGGCACAGCGAAAGCGUUAAGUUAUCCACCUGGGGAGUACGCCGGCAACGGUGAAACUCAAAGGAAUUGACGGGGGCCCGCACAAGCGGAGGAACAUGUGGUUUAAUUCGAUGAUACGCGAGGAACCUUACCCGGGCUUGAACGUAGGGAGACAGUUCUGGAAACAGAAUCUCUAGCAAUAGCUGCCUACGAGGUGCUGCAUGGUUGUCGUCAGCUCGUGCCGUGAGGUGUCGGCUUAAGUGCCAUAACGAGCGCAACCCACAUCGAUAGUUACUAACAGGUUAAGCUGA
rnacentral:rRNA from 1 species